rnacentral:rRNA from 1 species
UACGUAGGGACCAAGCGUUGUCCGGAAUUAUUGGGCGUAAAGAGCUCGUAGGCGGUUUGUCGCGUCUGCUGUGAAAACUGGAGGCUCAACCUCCAGCCUGCAGUGGGUACGGGCAGACUAGAGUGCGGUAGGGGAGAUUGGAAUUCCUGGUGUAGCGGUGGAAUGCGCAGAUAUCAGGAGGAACACCAAUGGCGAAGGCAGAUCUCUGGGCCGUAACUGACGCUGAGGAGCGAAAGCAUGGGGAGCGAACAGG